UACAGAGGGUGCUAGCGUUGUUCGGAAUCAUUGGGCGUAAAGGGCGUGUAGGCGGUUUGUUAAGUCAUGUGUGAAAUCCCUCGGCUCAACCGGGGAACGACGCAUGAAACUGGCAAGCUAGAGUACCAAAGAGGGGGGUGGAAUUCCCGGUGUAGCGGUGAAGUGCGUAGAUAUCAGGAGGAACACCGGUGGCGAAGGCGGUUCUCUGGGCCUUACCUGACGCUGAGGAGCGAAAGCGUGGGGAGCAAACAGG
rnacentral:rRNA from 1 species